CCGUCAUUAAUGAUUCACAAUUCUCCCCGACAUUUGUCGGAGUUAAAGAAAGGAUAUUUCAAAGAAUAUUGUUUACAGUAUUGUUAUAGUUCAGCUAUACCCAUACUUACGCUCAAUUACUGCACAUAACCGACGAAUUCGAAUAUAAUUUAAAAAUAAAAUAACGGUCGAUUUGAUUUUUUUCAAAUGUAUCGGCACUUAACAUUUGGGUAUUACAGGUACUCGUGUGAAAACAACGUGUUAAAAAAGUUUUACAAUAAUAAGCUUUUAUGAA